GGCGGACAGGUGUUUUUAUCCAAUAGGAGGAAAAACCUUUACAUAUUGAAUUAUUUAAGACCACGUGUCAUUCCCAGAUUAUCAUUUCUUCAUUUGACAGCUGUGUGCAUGCAUGAGAAGACACAUGGAUAUGAAUACUUACCACAGGUGGCCCAAGCUAGGUUUCUGUUGUGUGAUCAUAUUGCUGGGCUACCUGUCUGUGAUGUACAACUCAAACAAAAAAUUUUAUUCUCAAAGGUAUG